rnacentral:rRNA from 1 species
GACGUAGGGGGCCAGCGUUGCUCGGAAUUACUGGGUGUAAAGGGUUCGUAGGCGGUGUGGCAAGUCGGGAGUGAAAUCUCUGGGCUCAACCCAGAGUCUGCUUCCGAAACUGCUGUGCUUGAGUGUGGGAGAGGCGCGUGGAAUUGCAGGUGUAGCGGUGAAAUGCGUAGAUAUCUGCAGGAACACCCGUGGCGAAAGCGGCGCGCUGGACCACUACUGACGCUGAGGAACGAAAGCGAGGGGAGCAAACAGG